GACUGAAAGAUUACUCAAGUAUAAAGAUGGUUCCUUGGGGCUUUUUUUUUUUUCUUCCAGGAGACUGAAAGGUCAGGCAGGUCUCCAACCUGCCCCUCUGUUUUCGAGCAAUGAGGAUGAUAAGCCUGCAAGUUCUUCCCUUCCCCCUCAUCACACAUAGGCACUGGGGCAAAUCCUCCGUCUCUUACACACUCUUUACACUCUUCUGUGUCUUGCUAUCAUAUUGGCUCACAAACCACAUUGGAGUUGUAGGUAAUCUUAGAGUCCAACCUCCCAGGGUCUACCAUUGAGGUUUAAUGCUAAGUCCUCAGAUUAUAAUUGAGGGUUAGCUUACCUGUCUCCAUUGUGUGAAUUGCUUGCUUGGGAUCUCAAGCACCAGGUACUUCAUUUUAGGUUCUGUCUCCUGAGAAUUAGAAGUGUCUGCUGGUUAUAGUUUACUACUAUAAUAUCAAUCUCAGAACUGAUUGAGUAUCCUGGUGGAAGACGACAGGUCAGGAAUAUGAAGUAAGUUUCAGAGGCUAGAAAAUCAUGGCGGAAGGAUGGAUCUUACUUCAAGUUGAUCUGGUGGGAAAAGUUUUUUGGUUCACUUGUAAUUAAGAACAAAGGUCUCAUGAAUGGAAAAACCAGUGUAAGGAAGGAAACUUUCUCAAGGCUCCAGAGGCAAGCAGGGUGACAGUUAAGCUAUUCUCUGGAGAGUUCAACAGACAACCAGUUGGAAGAAAUGUUCCCCCCCCUCCCCUUUCAGCCCUCUUGGCCAUAAACAGAAAACUACGGGAGUAAGUUGGACUAUUUCUCGUUCUUUCACAUGUGGACUCAACUGUACAGGAGGUCCCACUUCUCCUCAGUCACCCCUAUGCCUCUCCCUGCCAACACCACAGCCAAAACCACCUUCUCUGUGCCGCCCCCCUUGCCAGAGUGUCUCUUCCCUCACCAGCCCUCUCCUCACUGCUCCUAAGAUUCUAAAAACAAACAUUCCAGAUUCU